rnacentral:rRNA from 1 species
CUGGCUUCCCCCUGUCACCGCCAUUGUAGCACGUGUGUAACCCAGCCCAUAAGGGGCAUGAGGACUUGACCCCAGCCUAAGACUGGAUAGGAGACAAGAAGGCAUCUUAGGAGCUUGCGUCACAUUAGUUAGUUGGUGGGGUAAAGGCCUACCAAGACUAUGAUGUGUAGCCGGGCUGAGAGGUUGAACGGCCACAUUGGGACUGAGACACGGCCCAAACUCCUACGGGAGGCAGCAGUAGGGAAUUUUCGGCAAUGGAGGAAACUCUGACCGAGCAACGCCGCGUGAACGAUGAAGUAUUUCGGUACGUAAAGUUCUUUUAUUAGGGAAGAAUAAAUGAUGGAAAAAUCAUUCUGACGGUACCUAAUGAAUAAGCCCCGGCUAACUAUGUGCCAGCAGCCGCGGUAAUACAUAGGGGGCAAGCGUUAUCCGGAAUUAUUGGGCGUAAAGGGUGCGUAGGCGGUUAAAUAAGUUUAUGGUCUAAGUGCAAUGCUCAACAUUGUGAUGCUAUAAAAACUGCUUAGCUAGAGUAAGAUAGAGGCAAGUGGAAUUCCAUGUGUAGUGGUAAAAUGCGUAAAUAUAUGGAGGAACACCAGUAGCGAAGGCGGCUUGCUGGGUCUUUACUGACGCUGAGGCACGAAAGCGUGGGGAGCAAACAGGAUUAGAUACCCUGGUAGUCCACGCCGUAAACGAUGAGUACUAAACGUUGGGUAAAACCAGUGUUGAAGUUAACACAUUAAGUACUCCGCCUGAGUAGUACGUACGCAAGUAUGAAACUUAAAGGAAUUGACGGGACUCCGCACAAGCGGUGGAUCAUGUUGUUUAAUUCGAAGGUACCCGAAAAACCUCACCAGGUCUUGACAUGCUUCUGCAAAGCUGUAGAAACACAGUGGAGGUUAUCAGUUGCACAGGUGGUGCAUGGUUGUCGUCAGCUCGUGUCGUGAGAUGUUGGGUUAAGUCCCGCAACGAGCGCAACCCUUAUUGUUAGUUACCAGCACGUAAUGGUGGGGACUUUAGCAAGACUGCCAGUGAUAAAUUGGAGGAAGGUGGGGACGACGUCAAAUCAUCAUGCCCCUUAUGACCUGGGCUACAAACGUGAUACAAUGGCUGUUACAAAGGGUAGCUGAAGCGCAAGUUUUUGGCGAAUCUCAAAAAAACAGUCUCAGUUCGGAUUGAAGUCUGCAACUCGACUUCAUGAAGUUGGAAUCGCUAGUAAUCGCGAAUCAGCAUGUCGCGGUGAAUACGUUCUCGGGGUUUGUACACACCGCCCGUCA